UGAUAGAUAAAAAUUACUUAUUUGUAUCUUAAACAAAAGGAAGAAGAACCCUUGGUAAGGGCUUUCCUGAACUUAGUAAGGGGAAGUUAUCUUGAAUUUGUCUCAAAUGCUUCUUAUAUGACAUAUAUUUGUCUCUUGAAGAAAAUAAAAUUUUGUCAUUCAUCAAAAAAAGAGAUUAUUGAACCAAAUUAAUUGAUUUUGAUGAAUGACAUAAAUUUAAAAAUGACACCAGUUAAUUGUUGAGGUAGCAAACAAGGCAUGACACAAGGUGGAACAAAUUAUGAAGCAUCACAAGAACAUCAAAAAGAGAAACAAAU
rnacentral:lncRNA from 1 species